AUUGUUCUUGGCCUUUUGGCCAAGAUCAAGUGUAGUAUCUGCUCUUACCAGUUUAACAUCUGACAGAGCCUCUACAUGAGGACAAUGUAUUACAUGAGUUUUUGGAGCAGGGAGGUGGAAGAGGAGCUUGCUCCGUCCUUACCACAUAUCCACCUGGCAUUGCAGUACCUCCAGGAACAGUGCACCAAUA
rnacentral:snRNA from 1 species